AUGUGGCUGUGCAAGUUCUUGAGAUACUUUACCCCUGCAAGAAAUGGUCCAACAUCAGUUGACUGGUGGAGAUACAGGUAAUAAAAGCAUAUGCUUAUCACUACACUACCUGGGUAUGAAGACUUUCUUUCCUUCAUUGAGGACAUAAAGCAGCUGUUUCCAAUAGAGACCUGGAAUUAGGAGCUGAGCUUUCAUCUCUAAAAGAAGGGAAAGAUAAAACUAUUAUUUGGACACUUCCCAAACUCCAAGAAAAGCAGCAGUUCUGGAGUGGGGAGACAGGGACAGGAGGUGGAGACUGAGAAAGCCAGGAUCUAAGGCAGUUGAAACCAGAAGAGACUGUGCUGCCUCACUGAUGGACCAGACUGUGGAUCCUCCACCAGCCGCUGGGAACACAUAAACCCCACACUGCAGUUACCAGGAGCCAGUUUGCCCUGCAGUGAGCACUCUGGAGCUAGUUGAGUGUGCAAAGAGCUAAAGCUAAAACUCCUCACUACUGGUUUCAAAGCUCUCUCUCCCCUUGCCCCCUCCUACCUCACCUUUCUCUCUUUCUACAGUUGAGCCUGCAUACUCUACUCCUCUACCGCUAACUUCCUCACUGUACCUCAUUCUUACCUAUCCUGCCUUCAAACCUUGGCCCACGUCCUACC